AGAGCCUCCCCAGGCAGGGCAGCGUUGCAGCUUGCAUGUGGCAGGGAUGUAGGGUGAAGCUGUGCAGGGCAAAAGACAGAUUGAGCUUCUAGAGCCUCAGAGAUGGAAUUCGCCGUUUUGCCGCGAUUUGGCGUUAACUUAUUGACCCAUGGGGAGGAGGGUCACUUCCCGUGAAAAGAAGGCAGAGAUGUUUUGCUGUGCCCAGUGUGAGGAAGCGAAGGAAAAGAAAGAUCUUUUGAAAAUGUGUACAUCUACUUGCAGCUUGAAAAUUCCAAGUGCCAGACAUUUUUCUUGGAGGAAAUAAAUGUCUUCAAUUUAUUCAUCUUA
rnacentral:lncRNA from 1 species